UUGAGCAUUAUAGUCGCUCUUUUUUUUUCGGUUUGUAGUAGAUUUUGGUCGAGUGAAAGAUGGAUUUUACAAUGGAGUUUGAUUUAUCAUUUUGAAUUAUUUUCCUAUAUGAUUGUGAAUUAAGAAGCCGAUGAAGAUGCCUGUGAAUACACAUCAAUGUUUUGUGUCUUCGUGCAGGAACAGUAUUACUGUUAAUCCUGAUGUGACAACAUUCAGAUUUCCAUGAAGCCGAAGCAAGUUAUUGAAGUGGAUUGCUGCAAUUGGCUAUGACCUUGAUGCCAGUAAUGCUGAAACAUUUAAAACUAAAUAUGUGUGUUCCGAACAUUUUGAUAUUGGAGCUUUCACUACAUGUGACUGCAUAAAAUUGAAUCGUGGUGCUGCUACAACAUAUUUUAAUUCUGUGGACAGUGAAGUAUGGAUCUAUUGUUAUAAUUUAUUAUGUCUAGAAUGCUGCCAAAUAUAGGUGAAAUGUUUAUGUUACAUAACAUAACUUGUAAGAUCUACUUGUGCAGAUAUAUAUUUUCACCUGCCUCUAAGGUCCUUUGUUAUUCACAGGUAGCAUUUACAUGUGAUGAAGCAGUAUUUAACAUUAUUGGUCAACAUGCAGUCCAUCAUUACAACCUUUGUACAGGCGCAUACAAACAUAUAUGUGUGGGGUAUUUCACACUUUUUAUUUGAUGUUAAAGAUUGGUAUGGUGACCGGGAUACUUUUUUUUAUUAAACCUCCUACACAGUUCUCUACUGUUUCCCUUAUCUGUUGCCUUAACAUUUUUUUCCGAUCAGUCCAAUUCCUUGAAUCACAUUGCAAAAAAAGUCACAAUACAUGGGAUUGGGCCACUCUCUUCAAAGAAUUGUAAUUCGAGUUUAAACAUAGCAAGGCUGACCAUAAAUUGUAGAGGAAAAUUUAAAAUGUUGAUCUUCAACAUAUUUAUAACCUAUGAUCAUGUGAUGUAUAUACAGCUAGUUAGAAAGUAAGUUGUAGUAUAGUAUGCAAUUGAACCUUCAAUAAGUUCUACAUCCACACUUAAAAACUUAUUUUACUUGAUGUUUUAUGUUCAAUAACUAUUCAGUAUAAAGGUUUUUUUUUUACAUUAUAAACUACAAAAGUAUUCCGAUUUGUAAAUGUAAUGAAAUUCCACUGAGCCCUCUACCUUUUUUUUAACUACCAUUUCUGCCGUGUGGCCUUUUUUUUUCUUACUUUUGUGUUCAUUAUAAGUUACAACCACUCAUUUGAUUUAUUGUGUUAAAUUAAAUGAUAUUUAAAAUUGGAUGUCACUUCAUAAGAACAUUCAGGAUUACCUGUAUUCACAGCGCACAAUUAUACAAAAGUUUUUUAUGUAUGUAAAAGUGUUUUACGUAAGACAGUGGACACAUACAUGUAUUGAGUAACAUGAGAAAAUUGAAAUAUCUAAAAUAAAAUUAAAAGGUUACAAGCUUUUAUAUACAUGCAGCUCCCAAAAAGUCUGCAUACUAAAAAAUAACACAUGCUUUUAAAUGAAUUCUUACCAUCUUAUAAACUAGUAGUAUUUUGUUAUUUGGUUUCAAAUGAAUUGUUUUUGGUUAAUUUAUUUGACUGUAGGGAUUAAAUAUCAUUUGUAGAAUAAAGUGUGAAAAGUAAUAUUGAUCAAUUUAACUGUAAGUACAAAAUAUGUGUUACAUUUCUUGUAAGUUAAAAUUGUUCAGGUAUUAUAAAUUAGCUGAAAAAAGCAAACUCAUGACUAGAAUAAAUUGUACUGUUAGGUAUGUUUCGAAGAAAGACUACCUGUUGCAGUCGUUACCAUGUGUAUGUACCACAUUUUUAUUGUCAUUAUAACUGCCAUAAUUUUGUACAAAUAAAUCACUUAAUACAUAAAA